rnacentral:rRNA from 1 species
AGAUUGAACGCUGGCGGCAGGCCUAACACAUGCAAGUCGAGCGGUAGAGAGGUGCUUGCACCUCUUGAGAGCGGCGGACGGGUGAGUAAAGCCUAGGAAUCUGCCUGGUAGUGGGGGAUAACGCUCGGAAGCGGACGCUAAUACCGCAUACGUCCUACGGGAGAAAGCAGGGGACCUUCGGGCCUUGCGCUAUCAGAUGAGCCUAGGUCGGAUUAGCUUAGGUUGGUGAGGUAAUGGCUCACCGAAGGCGACGUAGUCCGUAACUGGUCUAGGACGAGGAUCGGAUCAGUCCACACGUGGAACUGAAGACCGACGGU